CCUANGGGUGGCAGCAGUGAGGAAUAUUGGUCAAUGGGCGUAAGCCUGAACCAGCCAUCCCGCGUGAAGGAAGAAGGCGCUAUGCGUUGUAAACUUCUUUUCCAGGGGAAGAAAACCCGCUACGAGUAGCGGCUUGCCGGUACCCUGGGAAUAAGCAUCGGCUAACUCCGUGCCAGCAGCCGCGGUAAUACGGAGGAUGCGAGCGUUAUCCGGAUUUAUUGGGUUUAAAGGGUGCGUAGGCGGAUUAAUAAGUCAGUGGUGAAAACCUGCAGCUUAACUGUAGAAUUGCCAUUGAUACUGUUAGUCUUGAGUACGGUCAAGGUAGGCGGAAUGUGUAAUGUAGCGGUGAAAUGCUUAGAUAUUACACAGAACACCGAUUGCGAAGGCAGCUUACUGGGCCAUUACUGACGCUGAUGCACGAAAGCGUGGGGAGCGAACAGGAUUAGAUACCCCUNUANUC
rnacentral:rRNA from 1 species